rnacentral:lncRNA from 1 species
UUCGAAGGUCACGGAGAUCAUUACGUAAAAAUGAUAAAACUUUCAUGCAGUGGUGUAGAGGUUGGGUGAGAACGACACGUGUUGCUUCAUUAGAAGUAGGAACAAUUGCCGCAAGGCUUGAGUUGAGAGGUAAGGGUGAGAAAAAGUCGUAUAAAAGGAGAGAGAAAAGGCCACAGUGAUCAGUCGAGUUAGCGUCUCCGACACGGGAACAACUGCAGCACUAUUGGUCUCCAACUGCCUUCUUCAUCUCAUUAUCAGUUCGCAAUCAUGGUUAACUAUGACGCCGGGCUGCAGUUGGGUGUUGCAUCGUUGAUGUCGACCACGAGAGAAAAUCGUACUGCAACAUACUCUGCUCCAUCUUAAAACAUGGUUGACUAUGGGUCGUGCUGCUGCUGGGUGUUGUAUCGUUGAUGGCUGGGGAGGCUACGGGAGUACCGGUGUCUUCUGGGUAUGGUGGUACCAAACCGCAACGCCGCCGCUUUACUACACAACGAAGUCAACAUACGGAACAUCUAUUUCCCGAGGCCCCUAAAUACUACACCACCAAGGCUCUAACUACUACACCGAGGAUCUAACUUGUUACAUCACCGAAACGCCCAAGUACUGCACUACAAUCUACGUUGCCCCAGCUUACACCACGAAGGAAGCCGAGUACUACACCACGAAGGGAGCCGAGUACUACACCACGAAGGGAGCCGAGUACUACACCACGAAGGGAGCCGAGUACUACACCACGAAGGGAGCCGAGUACUACACCACGAAGGGAGCCGAGUACUACACCACGAAGGGAGCCGAGUACUACACCACGAAGGGAGCCGAGUACUACACCACGAAGGGAGCCGAUAAUUCGUACCACGUUGAACCGGAUUACUAAACCGAUGCUCCAGUUUACUACACUACAACCUGCGCUUUCUCCCAGAUACGACACCACCAAGGCAACCGAGUUACAUCACUACUUACGCUACUACCACCUACUGCACCGAAGUAUUACUCUGUCCCGAGUUAUUACACCACUAAGGCAGCCGACUAUUACACCAUAAACUACGCUUCCGCAACUUACUACAUGGAGCUUCCUUAAUGCCAGAGCCGACUAUUUGAGUUUAUUAUUAUUCGUCGGUUGUCUUUUCAUAAUCAUUGGUCACUGGGAGUAAUUGUUGAUCUUAAAUGAGUAAAUAAAAAUUUUAAUGCGGGUAA